rnacentral:rRNA from 1 species
CAGGACGAACGCUGGCGGCGUGCCUAAUACAUGCAAGUCGAACGGUCUUUCUAUGGAAGCUUGCUUCCACUGAGAAGAUAGUGGCGAACGGGUGAGUAACACGUGGGUAACCUGCCCAUAAGAGGGGGGAUAACAUCCGGAAACGGGUGCUAAUACCGCAUAGUUUUCUUGAUCGCAUGAUCGGGAAAGGAAAGACGGCCUUUGUGCUGUCGCUUAUGGAUGGACCCGCGGCGUAUUAGUUAGUUGGUGAGGUAACGGCCCACCAAGACGAUGAUACGUAGCCGACCUGAGAGGGUGAUCGGCCACAUUGGGACUGAGACACGGCCCAAACUCCUACGGGAGGCAGCAGUAGGGAAUCUUCCGCAAUGGACGAAAGUCUGACGGAGCAACGCCGCGUGAGUGAAAGAAGGUUUUCGGAUCGUAAAACUCUGUUGUCAGAGAAGAACAAGUUGGAGAGUAACUGCUCCAGCCUUGACGGUAUCUGACCAGAAAGCCACGGCUAACUACGUGCCAGCCGCCGC